UACGUAGGGGGCUAGCGUUGUCCGGAAUCAUUGGGCGUAAAGCGCGCGUAGGCGGCCAGAUAAGUCCGGUGUGAAAGUCACAGGCUCAACCUGUGAAUGCCGCUGGAAACUGUCUGGCUAGAGUCCGGAAGGGGCGAGUGGAAUUCCUGGUGUAGCGGUGAAAUGCGCAGAUAUCAGGAGGAACACCAAUGGCGAAGGCAGCUCGCUGGAACGGUACUGACGCUGAGGCGCGAAAGCUAGGGGAGCAAACGGG
rnacentral:rRNA from 1 species